AUGUCCGGCCGCGGCAAGGGAGGGAAGGGCCUCGGCAAGGGCGGCGCCAAGCGCCACCGGAAGGUGCUGCGCGACAACAUCCAGGGCAUCACCAAGCCGGCAAUCCGGCGUCUGGCUCGGCGGGGCGGCGUGAAGCGCAUCUCGGGGCUCAUCUACGAGGAGACCCGCGGCGUGCUCAAGAUCUUCCUGGAGAACGUCAUCCGCGACGCCGUCACCUACACCGAGCACGCCCGCCGCAAGACCGUCACCGCCAUGGACGUCGUCUACGCCCUGAAGCGCCAGGGACGCACCCUCUACGGAUUCGGAGGCUAG
rnacentral:rRNA from 1 species